CCUACGGGUGACUGCAGUGGGGAAUAUUGGACAAUGGGGGGAACCCUGAUCCAGCGACGCCGCGUGAGUGAAGAAGUAUUUCGGUAUGUAAAGCUCUAUCAGCAGGGAAGAAAAUGACGGUACCUGAGUAAGAAGCCCCGGCUAACUACGUGCCAGCAGCCGCGGUAAUACGUAGGGGGCAAGCGUUAUCCGGAUUUACUGGGGGUAAAGGGAGCGUAGACGGCAGUGCAAGUCUGGAGUGAAAGGCGGGGGCUCAACCCCCGGACUGCUCUGGAAACUGUACGGCUGGAGUGCAGGAGAGGUAAGUGGAAUUCCUAGUGUAGCGGUGAAAUGCGUAGAUAUUAGGAGGAACACCAGUGGCGAAGGCGGCUUACUGGACUGUAACUGACGUUGAGGCUCGAAAGCGUGGGGAGCAAACAGGAUUAGAUACCCUAGUAGUC
rnacentral:rRNA from 1 species